AUUUCUUCAACUCUACAGUAAGCCUUUGACAUUUUGCAUUUGAAGAAAAACAAACAAAAAAGAAAGAAUGAAUAUAGAUAUUCUUAGAACUCAUUCCAAACACUGGCAACAAAGCAUAGGUAUAUGCUAGAGAUAUUAUGUUCAUCAUGCUGAUAAUGGUCUAGAAUCUGUCAAACUGGUGGCUCAAAGCCACCAUACUCGAGUGAAGAUCAAACAUACAAUUUUGUUGAGAGGUAGAAUGAUACACAUCAUAAGUAACUUUAAAUGGUAAACAUAAGUAAGGAUAGAACUCACCACACAAGUGCGAGCUGGAGAGA
rnacentral:misc_RNA from 1 species